UAGGGAAUAUUGCGCAAUGGGCGAAAGCCUGACGCAGCAACGCCGCGUGAGUGAUGAAGGCCUUCGGGUCGUAAAGCUCUGUCGGAGGGAACGAAUGCUCCUGAAGUUAACAGCCUCAGGAGGUGACGGUACCCUCAAAGGAAGCACCGGCUAACUCUGUGCCAGCAGCCGCGGUAAUACAGAGGGUGCAAGCGUUGUUCGGAAUCAUUGGGCGUAAAGGGCGCGUAGGCGGCAUGACAAGUCACUUGUGAAAUCUCUGGGCUUAACCCAGAACGGCCAAGUGAUACUGUCGCGCUAGAGUGCAGAAGGGGCAAUCGGAAUUCUUGGUGUAGCGGUGAAAUGCGUAGAUAUCAAGAGGAACACCUGAGGUGAAGACGGGUUGCUGGGCUGACACUGACGCUGAGGCGCGAAAGCCAGGGGAGCAAACGGGAUUAGAUACCCCAGUAGUCCCUGAGCGGGCUGGCAAGGCGCAU
rnacentral:rRNA from 1 species